UGACCCGAAAGAUGGUGAACUAUGCCUGAAUAGGGUGAAGCCAGAGGAAACUCUGGUGGAAGCUCGCAGCGAUUCUGACGUGCAAAUCGAUCGUCAAAUUUGGGUAUAGGGGCGAAAGACUAAUCGAACCAUCUAGUAGCUGGUUCCCUCCGAAGUUUCCCUCAGGAUAGCUGGAGCCCGGUGCAGUUUUAUCAGGUAAAGCGAAUGAUUAGAGGUCUUGGGGUUGCAACAACCUCAACCUAUUCUCAAACUUUAAAUGGGUAAGAAGCCCGGCUUGCUUGGCUGAAGUCGGGCGCAGAAUGCCGGGGCUCCUAGUGGGCCAUUUUUGGUAAGCAGAACUGGCGAUGUGGGAUGAACCAAAUGCCGGGUUAAGGUGCCCGAAUCGACGCUCAUCAGAUCCCAUGAAAGGUGUUGGUUGAUAUAGACAGCAGGACGGUGGCCAUGGAAGUCGGAAUCCGCUAAGGAGUGUGUAACAACUCACCUGCCGAAUCAACUAGCCCUGAAAAUGGAUGGCGCUCAAGUGUCGUACCCAUACCCGGCCGUCGGGUCGAGAGGCCGGACUCGACGUGUAGGAGGGCGCGGUGGUGGCCGUGCAGCCUCUGGCGCGAGCCUGGGUGAAGCCGCCACCGG
rnacentral:rRNA from 1 species